rnacentral:rRNA from 1 species
AUUGAACGCUGGCGGCAGGCCUAACACAUGCAAGUCGGACGGUAGCACAGAGGAGCUUGCUCCUCGGGUGACGAGUGGCGGACGGGUGAGUAAUGUCUGGGGAUCUGCCCGAUAGAGGGGGAUAACCACUGGAAACGGUGGCUAAUACCGCAUAACGUCGCAAGACCAAAGAGGGGGACCUUCGGGCCUCUCACUAUCGGAUGAACCCAGAUGGGGUUAGCUCGUAGGCGGGGUAAUGGCCCACCUAGGCGACGAUCCCUAGCUGGUCUGAGAGGAUGACCAGCGACACUGGAACUGAGACACGGUCCAGACUCCUACGGGAGGCAGCAGUGGGGAAUAUUGCACAAUGGGCGCAAGCCUGAUGCAGCCAUGCCGCGUGUAUGAAGAAGGCCUUCGGGUUGUAAAGUACUUUCAGCGGGGAGGAAGGCGAUGUGGUUAAUAACCUUGUCGAUCGACGUUACUCGCAGAAGAAGCACCGGCUAACUCCGUGCCAGCCGCCGCGGUAA